rnacentral:misc_RNA from 1 species
AACUUUCGACAAUGGAUCUCUUGGUUCUGGCAUCGAUGAAGAACGCAGCGAAAUGCGAUAAGUAAUGUGAAUUGCAGAGUUCAGUGAAUCAUCGAAUCUUUGAACGCACAUUGCGCCCGUUAGUAUUCUGACGGGCAUGCCUGUCCGAGCGUCAUUUAAACCCUUAAGCCCAGCUUAGCGUUGGCGGAUUGCUGCGCCCAGCGCUGCAACCGCCCAAAUCCAUUGGCGGUCCCGCCGCGGCUCCCUUGCGUAGUAACUCACCUCGCACCGGGCCCGGGGGGCGACCCGCCGUAAAACCCCCACUAUAACAAGGUUGACCUCGGAUCAGGUAGGAAUACCCGCUGAACUUAAGCAUAUCAAUAAGCGGAGGCU